rnacentral:rRNA from 1 species
GGGAAGGCCCAGACAGCCAGGAUGUUGGCUUAGAAGCAGCCAUCAUUUAAAGAAAGCGUAAUAGCUCACUGGUCGAGUCGGCCUGCGCGGAAGAUGUAACGGGGCUAAACCAUGCACCGAAGCUGCGGCAGCGACACUGUGUGUUGUUGGGUAGGGGAGCGUUCUGUAAGCCUGUGAAGGUGUGUCGUGAGGCAUGCUGGAGGUAUCAGAAGUGCGAAUGCUGACAUAAGUAACGAUAAAGCGGGUGAAAAGCCCGCUCGCCGGAAGACCAAGGGUUCCUGUCCAACGUUAAUCGGGGCAGGGUGAGUCGACCCCUAAGGCGAGGCCGAAAGGCGUAGUCGAUGGGAAACGGGUUAAUAUUCCCGUACUUGGUGUUACUGCGAAGGGGGGACGGAGAAGGCUAUGUUGGCCGGGCGACGGUUGUCCCGGUUUAAGCGUGUAGGUGUGUGUUCCAGGUAAAUCCGGUUCACUUUAACACUGAGGCGUGACGACGAGGCACUACGGUGCUGAAGCAACAAAUGCCCUGCUUCCAGGAAAAGCCUCUAAGCAUCAGGUAACAUCAAAUCGUACCCCAAACCGACACAGGUGGUCAGGUAGAGAAUACCAAGGCGCUUGAGAGAACUCGGGUGAAGGAACUAGGCAAAAUGGUGCCGUAACUUCGGGAGAAGGCACGCUGACACGUAGGUGAAGUGAUUUACUCAUGGAGCUGAAGUCAGUCGAAGAUACCAGCUGGCUGCAACUGUUUAUUAAAAACACAGCACUGUGCAAACACGAAAGUGGACGUAUACGGUGUGACGCCUGCCCGGUGCCGGAAGGUUAAUUGAUGGGGUCAGCGCAAGCGAAGCUCCUGAUCGAAGCCCCGGUAAACGGCGGCCGUAACUAUAACGGUCCUAAGGUAGCGAAAUUCCUUGUCGGGUAAGUUCCGACCUGCACGAAUGGCGUAAUGAUGGCCAGGCUGUCUCCACCCGAGACUCAGUGAAAUUGAACUCGCUGUGAAGAUGCAGUGUACCCGCGGCAAGACGGAAAGACCCCGUGAACCUUUACUAUAGCUUGACACUGAACAUUGAGCCUUGAUGUGUAGGAUAGGUGGGAGGCUUUGAAGUGUGGACGCCAGUCUGCAUGGAGCCGACCUUGAAAUACCACCCUUUAAUGUUUGAUGUUCUAACGUGGACCCGUUACCCGGGUUGCGGACAGUGUCUGGUGGGUAGUUUGACUGGGGCGGUCUCCUCCUAAAGAGUAACGGAGGAGCACGAAGGUUGGCUAAUCCUGGUCGGACAUCAGGAGGUUAGUGCAAUGGCAUAAGCCAGCUUGACUGCGAGCGUGACGGCGCGAGCAGGUGCGAAAGCAGGUCAUAGUGAUCCGGUGGUUCUGAAUGGAAGGGCCAUCGCUCAACGGAUAAAAGGUACUCCGGGGAUAACAGGCUGAUACCGCCCAAGAGUUCAUAUCGACGGCGGUGUUUGGCACCUCGAUGUCGGCUCAUCACAUCCUGGGGCUGAAGUAGGUCCCAAGGGUAUGGCUGUUCGCCAUUUAAAGUGGUACGCGAGCUGGGUUUAGAACGUCGUGAGACAGUUCGGUCCCUAUCUGCCGUGGGCGCUGGAGAACUGAGGGGGGCUGCUCCUAGUACGAGAGGACCGGAGUGGACGCAUCACUGGUGUUCGGGUUGUCAUGCCAAUGGCACUGCCCGGUAGCUAAAUGCGGAAGAGAUAAGUGCUGAAAGCAUCUAAGCACGAAACUUGCCCCGA